ensembl:lncRNA
CCUCAGAGCGAAAGACCGUGUGGGGUCUGAAAACGAUGUGCCGGGAGUCCGGUGUUGUCGCCGGCUUUAGUGAGCCUUGACCACCCAGUCAGCUAUUGAGCUGGUGAGUAACGGAUAUCUCAAAAAACUUCAGAGCACUUUUCCAGAAAGAGUAAUAUUAAAACUAAGUAGCUGCUGCCAUUGUCGGAAACUGGAAUUGGCUGGGCCACGCUAUGAUUUCUGGGAUAGGUUGGGCCACAAAGGAUACACCCGACCCAUCCCAGAAAUCUGGGGAAAAGGAGGACACAUUUGUCGGAUGCAUUUGGAGCAGCCUUCGUUGCCUGUCUGUGAUCCAAUCGGCCUUUAAAUACGGCCUCCGAAGGAUGCAGCCCCUGAAUUGGGACAUAGCAUAUGUAUAUAUGCUGUAUAAUCCUAACUUAAUCUACUACAUUUUAACAUACUGCUGUUACCCCUAUUCAACCAACAUACUGUAACUGUAGCAGUCAUGUCAUGAACACAAAUGGGUUUUCACAAUUAUCAAGAUAAUCUGGUGUCUUACAGAUCUGUCUGUCUAAUGGAUAGUGGGGAAGAAGUGAGUGAGGAUGAAGAAGGUGAAGAAAAAUAAACAUUCCCCUGAGAGUGAUGGGAAAGAUGACAGGAUUUCUCAUAUUGCAGCUAUUUGCAUUUUUUUGGCCUUUGUGCUUUUGAACUAUUACAGUGUAGACGAGGAAAACAUUCACUUCUUAUAAAACACAUCUCUGGUGAUGUCUUGUUGCCCUGCUUCUUUUUUUUUUUUUAAAUUAUGCAGUGCAGUAAACAUAUCUCAAUGUAAUUGUUAGAAACUAAGAUUUCAUUUUUUACUUUUUUUUUAUGACAGGUGAAUCAUAACUUGUCAGCUCCACUCUUAAGGUUUUUAUCCAGCUUUUUUACUUCACAUUUGUAGCUUCGGCUUAAGAAUCUCACUCCCAACCACUGAAUAGACAAAGGUUGUGUCCACAUGAUGGCUGAGCCUUUGGUUUGGUUUCAAUGCUCAAAUUAUUUUUCCACAACUGUAGGGUAAUAAAAACUAAACAAAAACAACAAAAACAAAAUAAUAACUUAAACACAGCAAAUACUAAAACAAAGAUGAGGUUAAAUGCUCAUUGAGAUGACACAGUAUAGCUUGUAAGGCAACCACGCAGCAUGUCAAAAAUAGUGUUCUACUAAUAAAAGUGAAUACAUAAAAC